UGAGGAAUCUUGGUCAAUGGACGCAAGUCUGAACCAGCCAAGUAGCGUGCAGGAUGACGGCCCUAUGGGUUGUAAACUGCUUUUAUAUGGGGAUAAAGUGGGGAACGUGUUCCCUUUUGCAGGUACCAUAUGAAUAAGGACCGGCUAAUUCCGUGCCAGCAGCCGCGGUAAUACGGAAGGUUCGGGCGUUAUCCGGAUUUAUUGGGUUUAAAGGGAGCGUAGGCCGUUUGGUAAGCGUGUUGUGAAAUGUAGGAGCUCAACUUCUAGAUUGCAGUGCGAACUGUCAGACUGGAGUGCGCAGAAAGUAGGCGGAAUUCAUGGUGUAGCAGUGAAAUGCUUAGAUAUCAUGAAUAACUCCGAUUGCGAAGGCAGCUUACGAGAGCGCAACUGACGCUGAAGCUCGAAGGUGCGGGUAUCGAACAGG
rnacentral:rRNA from 1 species